CAGAGCAAGAGAUCUGCGUGAGGGUUACAAGAGCGGCGGCGAAACGAAAAGCUUCGACGGCGAUGGGUAUUGACGGAGAUCGGGUCAACAAGAAGAGAGUUGUUCUCGGU
rnacentral:sRNA from 1 species